AACAAUGACCACAUCAUCACUCGGAUCUCUUAACUCGAGCGGCAACAGUGUUUCUUUGUCUGCAUCAUUCUCAGCUACAUGUUCGACUCCACCACCAUGCGCCAAUCUUCCACCGCCGCCGCCUCCGACUCCGACGACCGCCUUCACGGCUGAUCCAAUUCAUUCCCUGCCGGCGAUGAUGCUCUCACCGGCGUCGUUUACCGUCAUGUCGAGAUUUUUGGUCUAUGGAAAUGUUAGGAGGGUUGGCCGAUCGAUUCAUUCAAACUGGAAGAAUAGCUUUCGGGAAAUGAAUAAUAAUGGGGUGCACCCAAAAGUUGAGUACCCUUUUUCCCUAUAUAGGUUCUACUCACAGUAUAAACAUUCAUUUAGAGAAGAUACUAUGCAUUAUGCAUUGUACAAAGUAAUGGAAAGAUUAUCCAAGAAUUAUCAGCCUCGGAGCUUCUAUUCCCUUUCGCCUAGCUAUGUGUUUUCGGACAAGGCACAAGUUACUUGGAAGAGGCUUUUUCAUGUAUUUUACUAUGAUGGUCCAGCUUUGACACCAAUAAGUAGAAUUGCCCGUGCAGCAAGUCUAGCUUUAAGUAGGUCGAACCAGGUAGCUCCUGGUGUUAUGGCGUUCUUAAUCGGAGAACUAGCCUGGAACAAGCAGAGAUGGGCAGUGGCAGAAGGCUUCCCUGCAAAGGAUACUCUUUAUAUGCAAGCACAAGAUGGGCAUAUUUAUUUAGCAUCGUUUGUGUUUUUCAUUUUGGAAUUUGUAAUUUUGUUAUUCAGAGCAACCUAUUUAGCGAUAUUGUUUUUACCCAGCGUAGCAAUGGCUCCCUUUGUGGAUUCUCUAGGUGUUGAAUUCAGAAAAAAGUGGCUUCGUAUUGUCCACCAUACACUGGAAAAAGCAGGCCCAGCAUUUAUAAAAUGGGGUCAAUGGGCUGCAACUAGACCGGAUCUGUUUCCCAGAGAUCUUUGUGAUGUACUUGCUGAACUUCAUACGAAAGCUCCAUCACAUAGUUUCUCUUUCACAAAGAAAUCCAUUGAAAAUGCAUUUGGUCGAAAGUUAUCUGAAAUCUUUGCUGAUUUUGAAGAGGAACCCUUGGCAUCUGGAAGUGUUGCUCAAGUUCAUAGAGCAACUUUAAAAUAUAGAUACCCUGGUCAGCAAACCAAGCCCAUUGUUGUUGCUGUAAAGGUUCGACAUCCUGGGGUUGGUGAAUCAAUUAGAAGGGACUUUACUAUAAUUAAUUCUGUGGCUAAAAUUUCAAAGUUCAUCCCUACGUUGAAAUGGUUGAGAUUGGAUGAAAGUUUACAACAAUUUGCUGUUUACAUGAUGUCUCAAGUUGAUCUUGCUAGGGAGGCUGCGCACCUAAGCCGUUUUAUCUACAACUUCCGCAGAUGGAAGGAUGUCUCAUUUCCGAAGCCUCUAUACCCUUUGGUGCACCCUGCUGUUCUGGUAGAGACUUUUGAGCACGGAGAAAGUGUUUUGCACUAUGUUGAUGAGCUUGAAGGACAUGAACAGAUUAAAAGCACCCUUGCUCACAUUGGGACACAUGCACUUUUAAAAAUGCUUUUGGUAGAUAAUUUUGUUCAUGCAGACAUGCAUCCCGGAAAUAUUCUUGUCCGUAUAAAAGAUAGGCGAUCACGUAAUCAUCUCUUUAGUUCAAGGCCUCAUGUUAUCUUACUUGACGUGGGCAUGACAGCUGAACUCUCUAGGACAGAUCGAAUGAAUUUACUCGAGUUCUUUAAGGCUGUUGCUCUUCGAGACGGUCGAAGUGCUGCUGAGUGCACACUUAGAUUAUCUAAACAGCAACGUUGCCCUAAUCCGAAAGGUUUCAUAGAGGAUGUUGAAAAAUCUUUCCAUUUAUGGGAUUCUCUAGACGGCGGGUCUAUCCAUCCAGGCGAGUGCAUACAACAACUGCUUGAUCAUGUUAGACGUCAUAAAGUCAACAUUGAUGGAAAUGUUUGUACAGUAAUCGUUACCACCUUGGUUCUCGAGGGAUGGCAACGGAAACUUGAUCCUCAACUCGACGUAAUGCGGACAUUGCAGACGUUGCUAUUCAAAGUUGAUUGGGCUGAAUCUCUGUUUUACACCAUUGAAGGACUUGUGGCACCUUAAAAGGACUCUCUGUUCAUCAUCAUCAUCAUUUCUAUUUUUUUACCCAAAGUUUUGGUACCAAGGAGAACACGACAAGAGACGAACAAAUCUUCGGCGAAUUGCUUGGAGCUUUCAUUUGGAUGCCACGUGUUACAAAUUUAACUUCUGUUUCUCACGUGCUAUUUAUGGCCUUUUUGACUGUGUUAACACGUGUUAGUCAGCUAAAGUCGUCGGAGAAAACUGGCAAAUUCCUGUCCCUGCGGCUAUUAUCCUGCUGUUAGUCCUUUUUUGGUCAAUUCCUGCAAUUAGUCCUUAUGCUUUACCAAAGUUGUGAUUUAAUCUCUCUAUUUUAAUUUGGUCAUCAUGUAGUUUUCAAAUUUUAGAAUCUUAAUCCUCACCACAAGAUAACUAUUAAAUUCAUUAGAUUAAAUUCUAUUA